UACGUAGGUGGCAAGCGUUAUCCGGAUUUACUGGGUGUAAAGGGCGAGUAGGCGGGAUUGCAAGUCAGAAGUGAAAUCCAUGGGCUUAACCCGUGAACUGCUUUUGAAACUGCAGGACUUGAGUGGAGUAGAGGUAGGCGGAAUUCCCGGUGUAGCGGUGAAAUGCGUAGAGAUCGGGAGGAACACCAGUGGCGAAGGCGGCCUACUGGGCUUUAACUGACGCUGAAGCACGAAAGCGUGGGUAGCAAACAGG
rnacentral:rRNA from 1 species